rnacentral:rRNA from 1 species
UACGUAGGGUGCAAGCGUUGUCCGGAAUUAUUGGGCGUAAAGAGCUCGUAGGCGGCUUGUCACGUCGACUGUGAAAUCUCCGGGCUUAACUCGGAAAGGUCAACUGAUACUGUGCGGCUAGAGUGCAGAAGGGGCAACUGGAAUUCUCGGUGUAGCGGUGAAAUGCGUAGAUAUCGAGAGGAACACCUGCGGCGAAGGCGGGUUGCUGGGCUGACACUGACGCUGAUGCGCGAAAGCCAGGGGAGCGAACGGG